rnacentral:rRNA from 1 species
UACGGAGGGGGCAAGCGUUAUUCGGAAUUAUUGGGCGUAAAGGGCGCGUAGGCGGCUAGAUGUGUCAAAGGUGAAAUCCCUCGGCUCAACUGAGGAACUGCCUUUGAAACUGUCUGGCUUGAGGCCGGGAGAGGGUAGCGGAAUUCCCAGUGUAGAGGUGAAAUUCGUAGAUAUUGGGAAGAACACCGGUUGCGAAGGCGGCCACCUGGACCGGCACUGACGCUGAGGUGCGAAAGCGUGGGGAGCAAACAGG